UACCAGUACCCCGAGUGGUCGGGACGAUUAUUGGGCCUAAAGCAUCCGUAGCCGGUUUUACAAGUCCUCCGUUAAAUCCAGCUGCUUAACAGAUGGGCUGCGGAGGAUACUAUAAGACUAGGAGGCAGGAGAGGCAAGCGGUACUCAGUGGGUAGGGGUAAAAUCCGUUGAUCCAUUGAAGACCACCAGUGGCGAAGGCGGCUUGCCAGAAUGCGCUCGACGGUGAGGGAUGAAAGCGGGGGGAGCAAACCGG
rnacentral:rRNA from 1 species